AUUUUCUUCUCUAACUGGUUCUACUUCCCUUCCUCCAAUUUUCUGUGUGUGUAUCUCAAGCAGGAAGCCAGGACCAGGGAGCCCUGUCCACGGGAGAAGCAGCGGCUGAUGCGGAUGCAUGCCAUCUGCCCCAGAGACGACAGCGACUGCAGCCUCGUCAGCUCCACAGAGUCUCAGCUCUUGUCGGACCUGAGCGCCACGUCCAGCCGCGAGCUGGUGGACAGCUUCCGCUCCAGCAGCCCCGCGCCCCCCAGCCAGCAGUCCCUGUACAAGCGGGUGGCCGAGGACUUCGGGGAAGAACCCUGGUCUUUCAGCAGCUGCCUGGAGAUCCCGGAGGGAGACCCGGGAGCCCCGCCGGGAGCUAAGGCAGGCGACCCACACCUGGAUUAUGAGCUCCUAGACACGGCAGACCUUCCGCAGCUGGAAAGCAGCCUGCAGCCAGUCUCCCCUGGAAGCCUUGAUGUCUCG
rnacentral:sRNA from 1 species